rfam:Pyrenophora tritici-repentis Pt-1C-BFP supercont1.17 genomic scaffold, whole genome shotgun sequence.
GCCCGGCUAGCUCAAUCGGUAGAGCGUGAGACUCUUAGUCCUCACGUCCUAACAGACACGAUUACUCAGUACAUCUCAAGGUUGUGGGUUCGACCCCCACGUCGGGCU